AAGGAGUCUAACAUCUAUGCGAGUGUUUGGGUGUCAAGCCCGAGCGCGUAAUGAAAGUGAACGGAGGUAGGAACCUUUAGGGGUGCACUAUCGACCGAUCCUGAUGUCUUCGGAUGGAUUUGAGUAAGAGCAUAGCUGUUGGGACCCGAAAGAUGGUGAACUAUGCUUGAAUAGGGUGAAGCCAGAGGAAACUCUGGUGGAGGCUCGCAGCGGUUCUGACGUGCAAAUCGAUCGUCAAAUUUGGGCAUAGGGGCGAAAGACUAAUCGAACUAUCUAGUAGCUGGUUCCCGC
rnacentral:misc_RNA from 1 species